rfam:Myotis brandtii contig221846, whole genome shotgun sequence.
GGCGGUUCUCGGGUGAUGCACCCCAGAACCAGAGAGGAGGGAGCCCAAUUCCAGGGUGCGUCACCCGAGAACCACC